GAUGAACGCUGGCGGCGUGCCUAAUACAUGCAAGUCGAGCGAACAGAUAAGGAGCUUGCUCCUUUGACGUUAGCGGCGGACGGGUGAGUAACACGUGGAUAACCUACCUAUAAGACUGGGAUAACUUCGGGAAACCGGAGCUAAUACCGGAUAACAUAUUGAACCGCAUGGUUCAAUAGUGAAAGGCGGCUUUGCUGUCACUUAUAGAUGGAUCCGCGCCGUAUUAGCUAGUUGGUAAGGUAACGGCUUACCAAGGCAACGAUACGUAGCCGACCUGAGAGGGUGAUCGGCCACACUGGAACUGAGACACGGUCCAGACUCCUACGGGAGGCAGCAGUAGGGAAUCUUCCGCAAUGGGCGAAAGCCUGACGGAGCAACGCCGCGUGAGUGAUGAAGGUCUGCGGAUCGUAAAACUCUGUUAUCAGGGAAGAACAAAUGUGUAAGUAACUGUGCACAUCUUGACGGUACCUGAUCAGAAAGCCACGGCUAACUACGU
rnacentral:rRNA from 1 species